UACACGCAAAAGAUGCAAUGGCAAGAGAGCAGAAAUUAAAACAAGGUCAAUCAAAAAGACAUUUGAUUGAUAGAAUACAAGACAGUAUAAAACUUUGUGAAUAAAAUUGAGUGCGGGAUAGUGGCGGACGGGUGAGUAACGCGUGAAUAAUCUGCCCCAUACAGGGGGAUAGCCUCGGGAAACCGGGAUUAAAACCGCAUAACACUUUAUCACCGCAUGGUGAUGAAGUCAAAUCGAUUAAGAGGUAUGGGAUGAGUUCGCGUCUGAUUAGCUAGUUGGCGGGGUAAAGGCCCACCAAGGCGACGAUCAGUAGCCGGCCUGAGAGGGUGACCGGCCACACUGGAACUGAGACACGGUCCAGACUCCUACGGGAGGCAGCAGUGGGGAAUAUUGCACAAUGGGGGAAACCCUGAUGCAGCGACGCCGCGUGAGUGAAGAAGGUCUUCGGAUCGUAAAACUCUGUCCUUGGUGACGAAGGAAGUGACGGUAACCAAGGAGGAAGCCCCGGCUAACUACGUG
rnacentral:rRNA from 1 species